UCUUAAGACAGGUGCUGUUAAUGAAUAAGCCCUUUGUUUGAAUUGGUGUGGGUUCCUAGUAGGACAAGGACAAAGAAUCAAGGAGUCAGCGAGGCUAGGUUUCUCUCGGCUACGGGUCCUGAAAGUUGUCGGCUAGUAGACAUGAAGAAGAACCUCGGCGCGGACUCUUCUGCUACACGGGUCCAGAACUCAGAGCUUCACAACCAAGUGAAGAUGAUAACCCAAACCGUCAUGGGCUCACACUAGAGAUCAACAAUGUGCAGCAGCUGUUGACCUCUGGACAACAUUUAGGAUGUGAUGAACCUGUCUGACCAGCAGAGGGCUUUUUCUUUGGACUGGCCACUGCCACUCCCAUCACAGCUCAGUUGCCGUCAUGGGAAGAUGAGAAAUCUCUGCCUUGACAACUUCAGAUUUGAACCUACCAGUAGAGUACCCCGCUGCUUGAGUUGCAACUCGAGCUGUGUGGCUGGAGGAGUCCAGGCACUUGCGAUGGAAACACAUAGCAUGUGGGGUACGCUGCCUUGACAACUUCAGUUCUGGUCCCCCGUUUAGGCCCCACACUUCAUGUCUUCUGUCACUGUGGACAGCUGUCAACAGAUUGACAUGUUGCAAAUAUUCAUUUGUUUAAAAAGUACUUAACAUGAUCAGGCUUUGCCAACUUGUAAUAAAGUUUUUGCAACUUCAAA